UACGUAGGGUGCAAGCGUUGUCCGGAAUUAUUGGGCGUAAAGAGCUCGUAGGCGGUCUGUCACGUCGGCUGUGAAAACCCGGGGCUCAACUCCGGGCCUGCAGCCGAUACGGGCAGACUAGAGUUCGGCAGGGGAGACUGGAAUUCCUGGUGUAGCGGUGAAAUGCGCAGAUAUCAGGAGGAACACCGGUGGCGAAGGCGGGUCUCUGGGCCGAUACUGACGCUGAGGAGCGAAAGCGUGGGGAGCGAACAGG
rnacentral:rRNA from 1 species